AAUAGAUACCCAGGUAGUCCACGCCGUAAACGAUGGAUACUAGCUGUUUGAGCGCAAGUUUGAGUGGCUAAGCGAAAGUGAUAAGUAUCCCACCUGGGGAGUACGGGCGCAAGCCUGAAACUCAAAGGAAUUGACGGGGGCCCGCACAAGCGGUGGAGCAUGUGGUUUAAUUCGAUGAUACGCGAGGAACCUUACCAGGGCUUAAAUGUAGAUUGACGUAUUUGGAAACAGAUAUUUCUUCGGACAAUUUACAAGGUGCUGCAUGGUUGUCGUCAGCUCGUGCCGUGAGGUGUCAGGUUAAGUCCUAUAACGAGCGCAACCCCUGUUGUUAGUUGCCAGCGAGUAAUGUCGGGAACUCUAGCAAGACUGCCAGUGUAAACUGUGAGGAAGGUGGGGAUGGCGUCAAAUCAUCACGGCCCUUACGUCCUGGGCCACACACGUGCUACAAUGGCCGGUACAGAGAGCAGCCACUUAGCGAUAAGGAGCGAAUCUAUAAAGCCGGUCACAGUUCGGAUCGGAGU
rnacentral:rRNA from 1 species